AGAGUUUUUCUUACAAAAUGAAAACAAUUUUUAUUUAAUAUCCAUUAAUUUGGUUAUAAAUGAUUAAUUGUGGAUUAAUUCAGUUACUAUUAAGGAACAGGAAUGAUAUUUUCUUCAAGGGCUUCUAGUUAAUCAAUGGGUUCAGCGUUUGUGUUAAUGGGACAAUUAAAGAUUGGAUAAUAAUUCGGAGAGGAAGUUAAUUGUGAACAAUUUACAUCUACAAGAUUGGUGAACAGUAAACUAAGGAUUGGGAGUAUUUUCAUCAUCAAUCAUUAACCAUUGUGAUACAAUUAAGUUACAAGGAUAAUUGAUUGAUGCUAAUUGUUGAUUGUUGAUAUUGUACAGAGUUAAUGGAGUAUUAUAAUCACAGUUGGUGCU